rnacentral:lncRNA from 1 species
UCCUCUGUCUCUGAUCUUCCAUUUUCUGUGCAAAAGCUUGGAUCAUCGCUAUGUCCAUAUCUUUAUUCAAAACGGUAAUAGUACAAUCUCUAACCAAAUAUGGAUCUAGCCUAUCCACAUAUUGAUGAACUCUGUCAUCCAUAGUAGCUACAACAUUAGGAGCAUAUCUCGACAAGGAAUUAAAUUGGAAGCUGUACUCCCUCACGCUCAUAUCCCCUGACGAAGAUUUAAAAACUGAUCUGCACGGGCCUGAUGAAUCUCGAAUGGAAGAUAAUGAUCAAGAAAUGCCUCUUUGAACUCUUUCCAAGUAGCUGGGGGUGCAUCAAUACCCCUAGAUCAUUUUCAGUCUUCAUACCAAUAUAUAGCCUCCCCUUUAAAUCUAUACGCCGCUAACUCCACUGCCUC